rnacentral:rRNA from 1 species
UACGUAGGCAGCAAGCGUUGUUCGGAAUUACUGGGCGUAAAGAGUGUGUAGGCGGUGCUCCAAGUCUGGUGUGAAAUCUCCCGGCUUAACUGGGAGGGUGCAUUAGAAACUGGAAUGCUAGAGGAUGGGAGAGGUAAGCGGAAUUCCUGGUGUAGCGGUGAAAUGCGUAGAGAUCGGGAGGAACAUCCAUGGCGAAGGCAGCUACCUGGACCAACACUGACACUGAGGCACGAAAGCGUGGGGAGCAAACAGG